GUGUUAAAACUUUAAGAAUUUGUGCUGAUGAAUGUGUGAUUUCUGAUGGAUUUACCUUAUCUCUGUGGUGCUUAAGAGCCACAGAAUUUGUUUCUAUCAAAAUAUACUCAUAAAACUUUUGUGUAUUUAAAGGAUUAUAUGGUUGAAAGUGCCAUCCAUUUGGGAAAUUUUUUUUUACUAUUUGCCUAGGGGUAUUUUCGAAAUACUCAUCUUCUAUAGUAAGGAUUGGUGUUUAUCAAUAUAUUUUGAAAAGGAGGUUUUUCUAGGAAAGCUUUGAAGU
rnacentral:lncRNA from 1 species